rnacentral:rRNA from 1 species
UCCUACGGGAGGCAGCAGUGGGGAAUAUUGCACAAUGGGCGCAAGCCUGAUGCAGCCAUGCCGCGUGUAUGAAGAAGGCCUUCGGGUUGUAAAGUACUUUCAGCGAGGAGGAAGGCAUUAAGGUUAAUAACCUURGUGAUUGACGUUACUCGCAGAAGAAGCACCGGCUAACUCCGUGCCAGCAGCCGCGGUAAUACGGAGGGUGCAAGCGUUAAUCGGAAUUACUGGGCGUAAAGCGCACGCAGGCGGUUUGUUAAGUCAGAUGUGAAAUCCCCGAGCUUAACUUGGGAACUGCAUUKGAAACUGGCAAGCUAGAGUCUUGUAGAGGGGGGUAGAAUUCCAGGUGUAGCGGUGAAAUGSGUAGAGAUCUGGAGGRAAUACCGGUGG